CUUGGCGACCAUAGCGUUUUGGACCCACCUGAUUUCCAUGCCGAACUCAGAAGUGAAACGAAAUAGCGCCGAUGGUAGUGUGGGGCUUCCCCAUG
rnacentral:rRNA from 1 species